rnacentral:rRNA from 1 species
CCCUUAGAUGUUCUGGGCUGCACGCGCGCUACACUGAUGCACUCAUCGAGUUUAUGACCUUGUCCGAUAGGAUUGGGUAAUCUUCUUAAAAUGCAUCGUGAUGGGGAUAGAUUAUUGCAAUUAUUAAUCUUCAACGAGGAAUUCCUAGUAAGCGCGAGUCAUCAGCUCGUGCUGAUUACGUCCCUGCCCUUUGUACACACCGCCCGUCGCUGCAACUGAUUGGGUGACCUGGUGAACAUCUUGGACCGGCCCACUCAAUUUCGAGAGGACUGGAAAAGGCCGUAAAUCAGGUACAUCUAGAAAUUGCAAAAGUCGUAACA